rnacentral:rRNA from 1 species
GCAGAAUUCGCCUUAGAGUUUGAUCCUGGCUCAGGAUGAACGCUGGCGGUAUGCUUUACACAUGCAAGUCGUACGAGAGUUUUUAACUCAAGUGGCGGACGGGUGAGUAACACGUAAGAAUUUGCCUUUAGGAGGGGGAUAACAACUGGAAACGGUUGCUAAUACCCCAUAUGCUUUCGAGUAAAAUGGAUUUUCCGCCUAAAGAGAAGCUUGCGGCUGAUUAGCUUGUUGGUGAGGUAAUGGCUCACCAAGGCGACGAUCAGUAUCUGGUUUGAGAGGACGAUCAGACACACUGGAACUGAGACACGGUCCAGACUCCUACGGGAGGCAGCAGUGGGGAAUUUUCCGCAAUGGGCGAAAGCCUGACGGAGCAAUACCGCGUGAGGGAUGACGGCCUAUGGGUUGUAAACCUCUUUUUUCAGGGAGGAAUCAAUGACGUGUACCUGAAGAAUAAGCAUCGGCUAACUCCGUGCCAGCAGCCGCGGUAAGACGGAGGAUGCAAGUGUUAUCCGGAAUCACUGGGCGUAAAGCGUCUGUAUGUGGUCAAAUAAGUCAACUGUUAAAUCUUGAGGCUCAACCUCAAAAUCGCAGUCGAAACUAUUCGACUAGAGUAUAGUAGGGGUAAAGGGAAUUUCCAGUGGAGCGGUGAAAUGCGUAGAGAUUGGAAAGAACACCGAUGGCGAAGGCACUUUACUGGGCUAUUACUAACACUGAGAGACGAAAGCUAGGGUAGCAAAUGGGAUUAGAUACCCCAGUAGUCCUAGCCGUAAACAAUGGAUACUAGAUGUUGAACAGAUCGACCUGUGCAGUAUCAAAGCUAACGCGUUAAGUAUCCCGCCUGGGAAGUAUGCUCGCAAGAGUGAAACUCAAAUGAAUUGACGGGGAAGGGC